GGUUUACACUUGAUCUCUGAACUUCAGGUAGAUUCAAUUGUCGACAAGUUAUGUUUAUCCUUUGCA